rnacentral:rRNA from 1 species
CGUAGAUAUAUGGAAGAACACCAGUGGCGAAGGCUGCUGUCUGGUCUGCAACUGACGCUGAGGCUCGAAAGCAUGGGUAGCGAACAGGAUUAGAUACCCUGGUAGUCCAUGCCGUAAACGAUGAGUGCUAGGUGUUGGAGGGUUUCCGCCCUUCAGUGCCGGAGCUAACGCAUUAAGCACUCCGCCUGGGGAGUACGACCGCAAGGUUGAAACUCAAAGGAAUUGACGGGGGCCCGCACAAGCGGUGGAGCAUGUGGUUUAAUUCGAAGCUACGCGAAGAACCUUACCAGGUCUUGACAUCUUGCGCUAACCUUAGAGAUAAGGCGUUCCCUUCGGGGACGCCAUGACAGGUGGUGCAUGGUCGUCGUCUGCCCGUGUCGUGAGAUGUUGGGUUAAGUCCCGCAACGUGCGCAACCCUUGUUACUAGUUGCCAGCAUUAAGCUGGGCAUUGUCGUGAGACUGCCGGUGACUAACCGGAGGAAGGUGGGGACGAAGUCAGAUCAUCAUGCCCCUUAUGACCUGGGCUACACACG